AUAUUAUUUUAUAUAAUAAUAUUAUCUUUAUAUAUAAGAUAUAUGUAUAUAUAUUAUAUGUAAAAAUUAGGAACUUUACGAUUAAGUAUUGCUUUAAAUAAUUUUUAACAUUAAAAAUUAAAUUUACUAUCAAUCAAUACAUAUAUUACAUGAAGUAAUAAAUGACUUCUCCAAAGUUCUGAAACUUAACACCAAUUAGAAUUUAACGAAAAUAUUCUAUAAAUUUAAAAAUAUUUUUAAUACAUUUCAAUAUAUUGUAUUAUUUCAUACAGAUAAUUUGUAUAUUAUUUUGAACAUUGUCAGUAAUCAUUAUCCAAUACCAAACAUUUCUUAAUACAGUAAUAUCCGGGACCUAACAUAUGAGCCGUUUAAAGCAAAAGCAAUGUAAUUCAAUCUUUCGUCUAUUAGGUUUAACACAUCUCGAGAGCGUAACCUUCACUGUCUUUUGUGCACAAGAGAUAUAAGUAUAUCUUCAUUAGUUUUUCGAUGGAUAACAGAAUAAGUGAGAAUCGCCUAUCCAGUCCCUUACGGAAUUCUUACUUUAUCUAUUAUUAUUCAUGAAUCAAUUUUUUUUACUUAUACUAUUUUUGCAUUAAAUGACUCAUAUAGAAGAUAUAUUCAUUGUAAAGUGUAUAUAAUUAAUGUACAAACAAUGUGUUUUAAAGAUCGAGCGACCGAGGUCAACAACUACGCGUCACGAUUAACGAAAACCAAAAUGAAAGUUUCAAAUAAGAAAAGCUCGAGUCGUUUGUUUCCUUGUACAAAGGAGAUUCGAAUAUUGAUAAUUUCGUAUAUGGAUUGGAUACGUAUAAAUUUACACCUCAUGUUUUUUGUCUGAUACAACCAUAUACCAUUAAUUAUGUAAAUUAACUUAUAAUAUAUACAUUGUUUUAAAUGAA